AGAGUUUGAUCCUGGCUCAGAAUAAAUGCUAUUGGUAUGCUUAACACAUGCAAGUUGAAUGUCUAUUUUUUAGGCAUAGCGAACGGGUGAGUAACACGUGAAUUAUCUACCUUUUAAUUCAGGAUAAUUAUUUUACAUAAAAAUACUGAAUAAUUCAAAUAAAGUUUUAAUAACGUUAAAAGAUGAGUUUGCGCAAGAUUAGGUAGUUGGUAGUUUAAAAGACUACCAAGCCGACUAUCUUUAGCUGGUUUGAAAGAAUGAUCAGCCACAUUGGGACUGAGACACGGCCCAAACUUUUUUAAAGGCAGCAGUGGGGAAUUUUGGACAAUGAGCGAAAGCUUGAUCCAGCAAUACCAAGUGAGUGAAGAAGGCUAAUUAGGUUGUAAAGCUCUUUCAUUAAGGAGGAAAAUGACAGUACUUAAAAAAGAAGUUCCGGCUAAUACCCGUGCCAGCAGCCGCGGUAAUACGGGAGGAGCGAGCAUUAUUCGGAAUGAUUAGGCGUAAAGGGUUUGUAGGUGGUUUUUUAAGUUGAAAAAAACAGAUUAAAGCUCAACUUUAUAAAUUUUUUCAAAACUGAAAAACUUGAGUAUAAAUAGAGGAUAAUGGAAUUUCUAUUGGAGGGAUAAAAUAUGUUGAUAAUAGAAGGAAGAUCAAAAGCGAAGGCAAUUAUCUGGGUAUAUACUGACACUGAGAAACGAAAGCUUGGGUAGCGAACGGGAUUAGAUACCCUAGUAGUCC
rnacentral:rRNA from 1 species